AAGCAAGCUGCAGGGUCUGGAGGGGAGCGAAUUUGUGCUGCUGCCCUCUGGGAUGCUCUUGAUCUCUCCUACCCUGGACUCCAGCUGCCCUUCUGAAGAGGACCUGGAGGUAUUUGACACUUCCCUGAGGAAAAAGGUGGUCUUGUAAGUAAGCAGGGCAGGAAGCUACAGGCUGUAGAAGCUGUGACACACUAGAUGACAGAACCCUCCGCCCUGUCCUCAGGACAGCAUUUCAUCCUUUGUUCUAGGAGCUGA